rnacentral:rRNA from 1 species
UUGUUGGUAAGGUAAAAGCUUACCAAGGCUUCGAUCAGUAGCUGGUCUGAGAGGACGACCAGCCACACUGGGACUGAGACACGGCCCAGACUCCUACGGGAGGCAGCAGUGGGGAAUUUUGGACAAUGGGGGCAACCCUGAUCCAGCCAUGCCGCGUGAGUGAAGAAGGCYUUCGGGUUGUAAAGCUCUUUCAGCCGGAACGAAACGGUUACGGUUAAYACCCGUGACUACUGACGGUACCGGAAGAAGAAGCACCGGCUAACUACGUGCCAGCAGCCGCGGUAAUACGUAGGGUGCGAGCGUUAAUCGGAAUUACUGGGCGUAAAGCGUGCGCAGGUGGUUUUGUAAGUCAGAUGUGAAAGCCCCGGGCUCAACCUGGGAACUGCGUUUGAAACUACAAGACUAGAGUGUGGCAGAGGGGGGUGGAAUUCCGCGUGUAGCAGUGAAAUGCGUAGAGAUGUGGAGGAACACCGAUGGCGAAGGCAGCCCCCUGGGUCAACACUGACGCUCAGGCACGAAAGCAUGGGGAGCAAACAGGAUUAGAUACCCUGGUAGUCCAUGCCCUAAACGAUGUCAACUAGUUGUCGGGCCUUUACGGGCUUGGUAACGUAGCUAACGCGUGAAGUUGACCGCCUGGGGAGUACGAUCGCAAGAUUAAAACUCAAAUGAAUUGACGGGGACCCGCACAAGCGGUGGAUUAUGUGGAUUAAUUCGAUGCAACGCGAAAAACCUUACCUACCCUUGACAUGUAUCGAAGCCCGCAGAAAAGCGGGGGUGCCCGAAAGGGAACGAUAACACAGGUGCUGCAUGGCUGUCGUCAGCUCGUGUCGUGAGAUGUUGGGUUAAGUCCCGCAACGAGCGCAACCCUUGUCAUUAAUUGCCAUCAUUUAGUUGGGCACUUUAAUGAGACUGCCGG